CAUAGGUUAACGAGGCGAACCGGGGGAACUGAAACAUCUAAGUACCCCGAGGAAAAGAAAUCAACCGAGAUUCCCCCAGUAGCGGCGAGCGAACGGGGAGCAGCCCAGAGCCUGAAUCAGCAUGUGUGGUAGUGGAACGGUCUGGAAAGGCCGGCGAUACAGGGUGACAGCCCCGUACACAAAAUUGCAUGUGUUGUGAGCUCGAUGAGUAGGGCGGGACACGUGGUAUCCUGUCUGAAUAUGGGGGGACCAUCCUCCAAGGCUAAAUACUCCUGACUGACCGAUAGUGAACCAGUACCGUGAGGGAAAGGCGAAAAGAACCCCGGCGAGGGGAGUGAAAAAGAACCUGAAACCGUGUACGUACAAGCAGUGGGAGCCUCUUUAUGGGGUGACUGCGUACCUUUUGUAUAAUGGGUCAGCGACUUAUAUUCUGUAGCAAGGUUAACCGAAUAGGGGAGCCGAAGGGAAACCGAGUCUUAACUGGGCGUUAAGUUGCAGGGUAUAGACCCGAAACCCGGUGAUCUAGCCAUGGGCAGGUUGAAGGUUGGGUAACACUAACUGGAGGACCGAACCGACUAAUGUUGAAAAAUUAGCGGAUGACUUGUGGCUGGGGGUGAAAGGCCAAUCAAACCGGGAGAUAGCUGGUUCUCCCCGAAAGCUAUUUAGGUAGCGCCUCGUGAAUUCAUCUCCGGGGGUAGAGCACUGUUUCGGCUAGGGGGCCAUCCCGGCUUACCAACCCGAUGCAAACUGCGAAUACCGGAGAAUGUUAUCACGGGAGACACACGGCGGGUGCUAACGUCCGUCGUGAAGAGGGAAACAACCCAGACCGCCAGCUAAGGUCCCAAAGUCAUGGUUAAGUGGGAAACGAUGUGGGAAGGCUCAGACAGCCAGGAUGUUGGCUUAGAAGCAGCCAUCAUUUAAAGAAAGCGUAAUAGCUCACUGGUCGAGUCGGCCUGCGCGGAAGAUGUAACGGGGCUAAACCAUGCACCGAAGCUGCGGCAGCGACACUAAGUGUUGUUGGGUAGGGGAGCGUUCUGUAAGCCUGUGAAGGUGUGCUGUGAGGCAUGCUGGAGGUAUCAGAAGUGCGAAUGCUGACAUAAGUAACGAUAAAGCGGGUGAAAAGCCCGCUCGCCGGAAGACCAAGGGUUCCUGUCCAACGUUAAUCGGGGCAGGGUGAGUCGACCCCUAAGGCGAGGCCGAAAGGCGUAGUCGAUGGGAAACAGGUUAAUAUUCCUGUACCAGGUGUUACUGCGAAGGGGGGACGGAGAAGGCUAUGUUGGCCGGGCGACGGUUGUCCCGGUUUAAGCGUGUAGGUGUGUGUUCCAGGUAAAUCCGGUUCACUUUAACACUGAGGCGUGAUGACGAGGCACUACGGUGCUGAAGCAACAAAUGCCCUGCUUCCAGGAAAAGCCUCUAAGCAUCAGGUAACAUCAGAUCGUACCCCAAACCGACACAGGUGGUCAGGUAGAGAAUACCAAGGCGCUUGAGAGAACUCGGGUGAAGGAACUAGGCAAAAUGGUGCCGUAACUUCGGGAGAAGGCACGCUGAUAUGUAGGUGAAGCGAUUUACUCGUGGAGCUGAAAUCAGUCGAAGAUACCAGCUGGCUGCAACUGUUUAUUAAAAACACAGCACUGUGCAAACACGAAAGUGGACGUAUACGGUGUGACGCCUGCCCGGUGCCGGAAGGUUAAUUGAUGGGGUUAUCCGUAAGGAGAAGCUCUUGAUCGAAGCCCCGGUAAACGGCGGCCGUAACUAUAACGGUCCUAAGGUAGCGAAAUUCCUUGUCGGGUAAGUUCCGACCUGCACGAAUGGCGUAAUGAUGGCCAGGCUGUCUCCACCCGAGACUCAGUGAAAUUGAACUCGCUGUGAAGAUGCAGUGUACCCGCGGCAAGACGGAAAGACCCCGUGAACCUUUACUAUAGCUUGACACUGAACACUGGUCCUUGAUGUGUAGGAUAGGUGGGAGGCUUUGAAGCGCGGACGCCAGUUCGUGUGGAGCC
rnacentral:rRNA from 1 species